AUGAACGCUGGCGGCGUGCCUAAUACAUGCAAGUCGAGCGAACAGACGAGGAGCUUGCUCCUCUGACGUUAGCGGCGGACGGGUGAGUAACACGUGGAUAACCUACCUAUAAGACUGGGAUAACUUCGGGAAACCGGAGCUAAUACCGGAUAAUAUAUUGAACCGCAUGGUUCAAUAGUGAAAGACGGUUUUGCUGUCACUUAUAGAUGGAUCCGCGCCGCAUUAGCUAGUUGGUAAGGUAACGGCUUACCAAGGCGACGAUGCGUAGCCGACCUGAGAGGGUGAUCGGCCACACUGGAACUGAGACACGGUCCAGACUCCUACGGGAGGCAGCAGUAGGGAAUCUUCCGCAAUGGGCGAAAGCUUGACGGAGCAACGCCGCGUGAGUGAUGAAGGUCUUCGGAUCGUAAAACCCUGUUAUUAGGGAAGAACAAAUGUGUAAGUAACUAUGCACGUCUUGACGGUACCUAAUCAGAAAGCCACGGCUAACUACGUG
rnacentral:rRNA from 1 species